rnacentral:rRNA from 1 species
UACGAAGGGGGCGAGCGUUGUUCGGAAUUACUGGGCGUAAAGGGCGCGUAGGCGGCGACCCAAGUCAGAUGUGAAAGUCCUGGGCUUAACCUGGGGACUGCAUUUGAUACCGGGUUGCUUGAAUUCGGGAGAGGAUAGCGGAAUUCCCAGUGUAGAGGUGAAAUUCGUAGAUAUUGGGAAGAACACCGGUGGCGAAGGCGGCUAUCUGGACCGACAUUGACGCUGAGGCGCGAAAGCGUGGGGAGCAAACAGG